GGACCCGCACAAGCGGUGGAGCAUGUGGUUUAAUUCGAUGCAACGCGAAAAACCUUACCUACUCUUGACAUACUUGGAAGCUCUUGUAAUGAGAGUGUGCCUUUUGGAACCAAGAUACAGGUGCUGCAUGGCUGUCGUCAGCUCGUGUCGUGAGAUGUUCCGUUAAGUCGGAUAACGAGCGCAACCCUUACCCUUAUUUGCCAGCGAUUCGGUCGGGAACUAUAAGGGGACUGCCGGUGAUAAACCGGAGGAAGGUGAGGACGACGUCAAGUCAUCAUGGCCCUUACGAGUAGGGCUACACACGUGCUACAAUGGCAGUGACAGAGGGACGCUACCAGGUGACUGGAUGCA
rnacentral:rRNA from 1 species